UUCAAAAAACAGGUAAAAUCCUAUCCGAAAAUGUACUGCGAGUCGAAAGCACGCAACCGAGCAUUAGCGGCCAGCGUCCGUCAGUUGUAAAUAUUGAUUUACGACGAUGUAAGCGACCUACAGUGCAGAGUGCAUUAGAAAUCACCGAAGCUUGCAACUAGAAUGGAUUGUGGCAAUUAUCUGGGCCUUUCUGCCAGGAAAAAGGCGUGAACAACAGUCAUUUAAUUGAACCUGGAAAUCAUCCACCACUAACAGAAAACUUUUUAACAACAGAAGCUGAUGUAUAUGAUGUCCAAAUGACCAAAUAUAACUGUUAAACAAUUUGAAGUGAGAUGCUUUAUUUUCUGAUUCCCUUUCAAAUGAAGAACAUUGGUGUGAUUUUAUGUUUAAAUAAUUAAUUUCGAAACAUUUAUGCAGCAUACUGUUUAAUACAUUGAUGUUAACAUUAUUAUAUUAUUUUGGUUAUCUGUGUUGUUUAUCAAGUUGAAAAAAAUGUUAUUUAUAUACAAAUAAAGCUUAUUAAGACUUA